CCUACGGGUGGCAGCAGUGGGGAAUAUUGCACAAUGGGGGAAACCCUGAUGCAGCGACGCCGCGUGAGUGAAGACGUAAUUCUUUAUGUAAAGCUCUAUCAGCAGGGAAGAAAAUGACGGUACCUGAGUAAGAAGCCCCGGCUAACUACGUGCCAGCAGCCGCGGUAAUACGUAGGGGGCAAGCGUUGUCCGGAAUCACUGGGCGUAAAGGGCGCGUAGUCGGUAAUAUAAGUCAGAUGUGAAAGGUGGCGGCUCAACCCGUAGAGUGCAACUGAUACUGUAUAACUUGAGUGUGAGAGAGGGAAGCGGAAGUCCUAGUGUAGCGGUGAAAUGCGUAGAUAUUAGGAGGAACACCAGUGGCGAAGGCGGCUUUCUGGCUCAUAACUGACGCUGAGGCGCGAAAGCGUGGGGAGCAAACAGGAUUAGAUACCCGUGUAGUC
rnacentral:rRNA from 1 species